rnacentral:rRNA from 1 species
GAUGAACGCUGACAGAAUGCUUAACACAUGCAAGUCUACUUGAACUUCGGUUUGGGUGGCGGACGGGUGAGUAACGCGUAAAGAACUUGCCUCACAGAUAGGGACAACAUUUGGAAACGAAUGCUAAUACCUGAUAUUAUGAUUUUAGGGCAUCCUAGAAUUAUGAAAGCUAUAUGCACUGUGAGAGAGCUUUGCGUCCCAUUAGCUAGUUGGGGAGGUAACGGCUCACCAAGGCGAUGAUGGGUAGCCGGCCUGGGAGGGUGUGCGGCCACAAGGGAUCGGAGACAGGGCCCUUACUCUGUCGAGAGGCAGCAUUGGGGAGUAUCGGUCAAUGGACCAAGUGUCUGAUCCAGCAAUUCUGUGUGCACGAUGAAGUUUUUCGGAAUGUAGAGUGCUUUCAUUUGGGAAGAACAAAAUGACGGUACCAACAGAAGAAGUGACGGCUAAAUACGUG